GGGGAAUAUUGCACAAUGGGGGAAACCCUGAUGCAGCGACGCCGCGUGGAGGAAGAAGGUCUUCGGAUUGUAAACUCCUGUUGUUGAGGAAGAUAAUGACGGUACUCAACAAGGAAGUGACGGCUAACUACGUGCCAGCAGCCGCGGUAAAACGUAGGUCACAAGCGUUGUCCGGAAUUACUGGGUGUAAAGGGAGCGCAGGCGGGAAGACAAGUUGGAAGUGAAAUCUAUGGGCUCAACCCAUAAACUGCUUUCAAAACUGUUUUUCUUGAGUAGUGCAGAGGUAGGCGGAAUUCCCGGUGUAGCGGUGGAAUGCGUAGAUAUCGGGAGGAACACCAGUGGCGAAGGCGGCCUACUGGGCACCAACUGACGCUGAGGCUCGAAAGUGUGGGUAGCAAACAGGAUUAGAUACCCUGGUAGUCCACACCGUAAACGAUGAUUACUAGGUGUUGGAGGAUUGACCCCUUCAGUGCCGCAGUUAACACAAUAAGUAAUCCACCUGGGGAGUACGACCGCAAGGUUGAAACUCAAAGGAAUUGACGGGGGCCCGCACAAGCAGUGGAGUAUGUGGUUUAAUUCGACGCAACGCGAAGAACCUUACCAAGUCUUGACAUCCUGCGACGAUGCUGGAAACAGCAUUUUCCUUCGGGACGCGGAGACAGGUGGUGCAUGGUUGUCGUCAGCUCGUGUCGUGAGAUGUUGGGUUAAGUCCCGCAACGAGCGCAACCCUUACUGUCAGUUACUACGCAAGAGGACUCUGGCAGGACUGCCGUUGACAAAACGGAGGAAGGUGGGGAUGACGUCAAAUCAUCAUGCCCUUUAUGACUUGGGCUACACACGUACUACAAUGGCGUUAAACAAAGAGAAGCAAGACCGCGAGGUGGAGCAAAACUCAGAAACAACGUCCCAGUUCGGACUGCAGGCUGCAACUCGCCUGCACGAAGUCGGAAUUGCUAGUAAUCGUGGAUCAGCAUGCCACGGUGAAUACGUUCCCG
rnacentral:rRNA from 1 species